GCAACCAUAGUGUAGGGGUUAUCAUCCCAGCCUUCCAAGCUGGGGACUCGGGUUCGAGUCCCGAUGGUUGCA